rnacentral:rRNA from 1 species
UACGUAGGGUGCGAGCGUUGUCCGGAAUUAUUGGGCGUAAAGAGCUUGUAGGCGGUUUGUCGCGUCUGCUGUGAAAAUCCGGGGCUCAACCCCGGACUUGCAGUGGGUACGGGCAGACUAGAGUGUGGUAGGGGAGACUGGAACUCCUGGUGUAGCGGUGAAAUGCGCAGAUAUCAGGAGGAACACCGAUGGCGAAGGCAGGUCGCUGGGCCACUACUGACGCUGAGAAGCGAAAGCAUGGGGAGCGAACAGG